rnacentral:rRNA from 1 species
CGUAGGGUGCAAGCGUUGUCCGGAAUUAUUGGGCGUAAAGAGCUCGUAGGCGGUUUGUUGCGUCGGCUGUGAAAUCCCGAGGCUCAACCUCGGGUCUGUAGUCGAUACGAGCAAACUAGAGUGUUGCAGGGGAGACUGGAAUUCCUGGUGUAGCGGUGAAAUGCGCAGAUAUCAGGAGGAACACCGGUGGCGAAGGCGGGUCUCUGGGCAACAACUGACGCUGAGGAGCGAAAGCGUGGGGAGCGAACAGGAUUAGAUACCCUGGUAGUCCACGCCGUAAACGUUGGGCGCUAGGUGUGGGGCUCAUUCCACGAGUUCCGUGCCGCAGCUAACGCAUUAAGCGCCCCGCCUGGGGAGUACGGCCGCAAGGCUA